GCUGCCAUUCGAGAAAUUCAUCCACCCGCGCUUGCUCCAAGAAAUAUUUCGGAUAGAGAUAUUCGGGAAUUUUACCCUUUGCGCUGAGCCAAUUUGAAACCAUCAUCAUUAAUGCAGGGCACUCGCUGGAAACGAUUGAUAUUUUGCUUGAACUCUUCAGUCAAGUGUUCACCUGCGACGAAAGAAAAUAUUUAUUAUGAAGUAUCGGUUAAGAAAAAUAAAGCAUAACUUGGGUAUCUUUGCUAACCCUAAGGCUUGUCCACCGGUCCAUCAUUAUUUCUGUCGACAAAUCUGCCGACUACGGUUUUGACGGUUUAAAAAAUAAAAAUUUAAAACAACGAUUAUUCUUGAUAAAAAAA